rnacentral:lncRNA from 1 species
UGACUUCAUUAAUGAUGCAAUGAUCUCUUGCAUGCUUUAUAGCCUGAAAUUUUCUGCCAUUCUAAUCGCUUGAUAUACUGGACAUCUGCAAGUAACUUCACUUCAUCCCAGUAAACAUUUAAUGAGGAUUCAAAUAAUCUUUUAGCAAGAGCUAUAUUGAGAUUAGCAUUAGUUAAAUCUCUUUUUUCGUUCUUCUAUUCUAUAGUCUAUGCACCUCAAUUUGCUAUCUAUAUAUUCUUCAAUUCUAUUACAUUCAUUAUAUACUGGAAUGCAAUACACCUGUUUUACAGGAACCAAUGGUUGGCUUAUCUUUGUCAUUCCUAAUAAAUGGAUAUAUGUUCUUCUAUCUUGUAUAUGGGAAGAAGACACUAGCUUUUUUCUUAACUUUCUUUUUUAUAAAAUUGAAAGACGGGUUAUAAUCUAUAAAAUCUUAAUGCUUUCUUAAAAUUUAGCAAGUCGUGGGACCAAGCAGGGAUCAGAAUUGGGAAAUAAAAGUUGCUUUUCUAUACAUGUAAAGUCAAAACUAUUAGGUUAACUGGAACAUAUAGAAUUAUUAGAAGUUUAGUCUAAAAUUAAUGUAAUCCUUAAGAUAUCGAACAAGGCAUUCUGGUAACUGACCUUCAUCUUUCCAUAAAAUACUUAUACCUUCAAUAUAUCUAGUAAAAGAUAAAAUUUUGGAUAUGAAAGUUGUAAGAUCGG